rnacentral:SRP_RNA from 1 species
CCGUGCUAGGCGGGGAGGUAGCGGUGCCCUGUCGCUCGCAAUCCGCUCUAGCGAGGCCGAAUCCCCUCUCGAGGGGGUCGGUCUGUGGGGUCAGCGCGCUCAGCGUGGCGUCGAUGGCCCGAAGUCCCAAACGACGCCGGCCCGUGAACCAGGUCAGGUCCGGAAGGAAGCAGCCUUAAGCGGUUCCCGGCGGGCGUAGCGGGAUCUUCGGUGCCGGAGCUUCGCGAAGCGCAGCGCUCACAGGCCGCCUUCGAUUGAGGGUGCACGG